UACGGGGGGGUAAGCGUUGUUCGGAAUUACUGGGCGUAAAGCGCACGUAGGCGGACUAUUAAGUCAGGGGUGAAAUCCCGGGGCUCAACCCCGGAACUGCCUUUGAUACUGGUAGUCUCGAGUCCGGAAGAGGUGAGUGGAAUUCCGAGUGUAGAGGUGAAAUUCGUAGAUAUUCGGAAGGAACACCAGUGGCGAAGGCGGCUCACUGGUCCGGUACUGACGCUGAGGUGCGAAAGCGUGGGGAGCAAACAGG
rnacentral:rRNA from 1 species